CGUCUAUAUACGUAUAGCAUAUCAAUAAGCGGAGGAAAAGAAACUAACAAGGAUUCCCUUAGUAACGGCGAGUGAAGCGGGAAGAGCUCAAAUUUGAAAUCUUCAAGGUUCUACCUUGACGAAUUGUAGUUUAUAGAAGUGUUUUCUGUUAGUAGAGUUGGCUAAAAGUUCUUUGGAAUAGGACAUCAUAGAGGGUGAGAAUCCCGUAUUUGAUCAUUCUUUCUAGCUUUGUGAUACACUUUCAACGAGUCGGAUUGUUUGGGAAUGCAGUCCAAAAUGGGUGGUAAAUUUCAUCUAAAGCUAAAUAUUGGCGAGAGACCGAUAGCGAACAAGUACCGUGAGGGAAAGAUGAAAAGAACUUUGAAAAGAGAGUUAAACAGUACGUGAAAUUGUCAAAAGGGAAGCGUUUGACACCAGUGUUGUUUUUCUCGAAAAUCAAUUAAAAAUGGCCGGAUUUUAGUUGUCAUGACCUUAUAAGCUUUUCUGCACUUUUUUCCUUAUCUUUCUUAAUGCACUUUUCGUUUAACAAGUCAACAUCAAUUUCUUUUGUUGUAAAAGGGUAUGAGGAAGGUGGCUUUCUUUUCGGAGAAAGUGUUUAUAGCCUUGUGCCUCUGCAAUCGGAGAGAUUGAGGUCUGCAGCGUAGAUCCUUCGGGGUUAGAUAGCAUUUGUGCUAAGUUAUAGCUUUCAUAGACAACUUGUUGACUAUGUUUAGUCUUGUAGCUUACUCGCUUAUGCUAUUUUACCUACGCUUAGGAUGUUGACACACGCGCGUGCUCG
rnacentral:rRNA from 1 species